GCAUUAAUGGGGUAGUGGUAACCUGGAUCGUUGCCAUUAGUGAUUUCAUUGAGUCAUUUCGACCCGCCGGGGGUUCGAUUCCCUCUUAAUGCA